UCCUGACUGACCGAUAGUGAACCAGUACCGUGAGGGAAAGGCGAAAAGAACCCCGGCGAGGGGAGUGAAAAAGAACCUGAAACCGUGUACGUACAAGCAGUGGGAGCACGCUUAGGCGUGUGACUGCGUACCUUUUGUAUAAUGGGUCAGCGACUUAUAUUCUGUAGCAAGGUUAACCGAAUAGGGGAGCCGAAGGGAAACCGAGUCUUAACUGGGCGUUAAGUUGCAGGGUAUAGACCCGAAACCCGGUGAUCUAGCCAUGGGCAGGUUGAAGGUUGGGUAACACUAACUGGAGGACCGAACCGACUAAUGUUGAAAAAUUAGCGGAUGACUUGUGGCUGGGGGUGAAAGGCCAAUCAAACCGGGAGAUAGCUGGUUCUCCCCGAAAGCUAUUUAGGUAGCGCCUCGUGAAUUCAUCUCCGGGGGUAGAGCACUGUUUCGGCAAGGGGGUCAUCCCGA
rnacentral:rRNA from 2 species